GAAGGCACUUAAACCUUGAAGAAAUUAUCAUAGAGGACAGUGACUGCUUUCUAUGAUUUAUAGAGUUGUUUUCCUGAGAAAGUUUUCCAUCCAUUGCAAGACUUUAGUCACAAGAUUAUCCAGGCACAUGUGGAGCAUCUUGAAAUAGUUCUUGGCGGAGGGAUCUGUCAGCUGGACCAGAGCCAAAGGAAGAAGGCAAACCUCUGACUCCUGCUGCGAGAAUGUCUACUGCAGAUUAUAAAGCACUGAGCAUGACUGGAGAGAAGGAUCUGUUACCCAACAAGAAGAUAUGGGGGAAUGAAACCUGGCUAGCAAGUCAGAUACUUUCAGAGCUCUGUCAAAGCCCUACUAUAUCUCAGCUCCACCAUGUUUACCACGGGAGAACACCUAGCUGAAUCCUGUCACAAGGCUCUGUGUUGCAGACUUCCAUCACAUGGACCAGCCAGGAAACAUAGUAAGCAAGGAAAUGAGAAAGAAAUGACAACAGCAUCAGAAAGGAUCCAAGAGAGCUGAAGGCAGAAUGGACAGGGUUGCCAAAAGUAAAGACUCUUUGAUCUGAUCAUGAAGAUUAAUUAUUUUUCUUUGUUUGUUAGUUUUCUAUUUCCCAGACAAGGUUUCUUUA